rnacentral:rRNA from 1 species
CAGCAGCCACGGUAAUACGUAGGUGGCAAGCGUUGUCCGGAAUUAUUGGGCGUAAAGGGCUCGCAGGCGGUUUCUUAAGUCUGAUGUGAAAGCCCCCGGCUCAACCGGGGAGGGUCAUUGGAAACUGGGAAGCUUGAGUGCAGAAGAGGAGAGUGGAAUUCCACGUGUAGCGGUGAAAUGCGUAGAGAUGUGGAGGAACACCAGUGGCGAAGGCGACUCUCUGGUCUGUAACUGACGCUGAGGAGCGAAAGCGUGGGGAGCGAACAGGAUUAGAUACCCCGGUAGUCCCUGUCUCUUAUAC